rnacentral:rRNA from 1 species
UACAGAGGUCCCAAGCGUUGUUCGGAUUCACUGGGCGUAAAGGGUGCGUAGGCGGCCGGGUAAGUCUGAUGUGAAAUCCCGCAGCUUAACUGCGGAACUGCAUCGGAUACUCUCCGGCUAGAGGAAUGGAGGGGAGACUGGAAUUCUCGGUGUAGCAGUGAAAUGCGUAGAUAUCGAGAGGAACACCAGUGGCGAAGGCGAGUCUCUGGACAUUUCCUAACGCUGAGGCACGAAAGCCAGGGAGCAAACGGG